rfam:Peptococcaceae bacterium CEB3 CEB3_contig000061, whole genome shotgun sequence.
GGAAUCCCACCAGAAAAGGUUAGCCAGCCAUUCUGUAGCGAGUCUUGAGAGGCACAGGGUGACCUGUGUAUCUAAGCGUAGACAGCAAACUAGCAGGCCGGCAGCGUAAGUUGAAGCGAUAGAGCACCGAAAUCCCGAAAACGGUGAAGGCCGAUGCUGUGGUCAGAGCAGAAGGCUACACCUUGCUGGUCGCAAAUGGCAAGAACAGCAAGGCAUCCCCGGGGUCGUGGAGCC